GUGCUUCCUUCAGCAGCACAGAUACUAAAUUUUGAAUGAUAUAGAAGAGAUUAGCUUGGCCUUGCACAGAAUGACAUGCAAAUUUGUGAAGCAUCCCAGAUUUUC